rnacentral:lncRNA from 1 species
GGUGGAGAAAGUUAUGGGCAAAACAACCAGCAAAGGUCAGAGUUGGUUGAAAUAUAUAAAGCUUCAACUUGAACGAAUAAACUGUACCUACUGAGAUGUUCAAAAAUUGCAAAUUAAUAGUCAUUGGAAAGAUUUUUGAGUCUAGUUUCUAAUAAAAAAAGAAUCACAUCAUUUGGAGGUCGGUGGGAAAAGUUAUCAUUAAAAUAACGAGCAAAGGUCAAAGUUGACACCAUGUUAACUUGGUCAUGACACCAACAUUAGGUCUUUCCUCCACCAUGGGUUGCCCAAACCAUACUUUUCAGACUCUAGUCACACUUAAACACCAAAAAGAAGUCUCAUCCAUUCAAGAAACAUGAAAAAAUUACGUAAAAUUUCUUUGGCUACUUAUGUGUCCAAAGUUGGCUCCUGCAGCACAAGUUUUUGUCCAAAACCAGAUUUUUGUUUGUGU